UAUUGCCGGUGAACUGUAACGUCAACACUGGAGAGAGGUGGGGCUCCUAACUUACGUUGCUUGUCAUGGCGAGGUUUGAACUUCUUAAUCGUGGUCAAUAGUAAAGACUAACUUCUGAAUCUAAGAAAUUCCGCUCUUAAUUAUGUUAAGAAAAAAAAGAUGGAACAUAGAGGAAUUUGAGCAGCGCCUAAGGAUGGAUGCCCUCCAAGCCUCAGAGAGCAUGCUGGGAGGUUUUUACAAGAUAAACAGCAUGAAGAGCAGAAACUAUCCACAAUGCUACUGUACCUCUCCAGCCAGAGGGAUGGCAGAACAGCCUCUGAUUCGGACUGGUCGGUGGCAACGCUCCCGUUCAACUCGCCCAGUCCUGAUUGCUCCUGAAUGUCGGUCAUCUCCCCGACAAUGAACGUCGGCUCCCCUCCUUUGCUGUUGGCCGAGCUGCUGUCCGGCUGCUUGGCCGCCUGGUUGGCCAGGGUGGGCUCCUCAUCCAGCCUGCUGGAGAUGGACCAGUAGAGGAUGACCACAAUCUCAAAGUCCUCCUUCUCCAGCUGGGCCUGGGACAUGUCCCAGAAGGGUGAAUGCGCAUCAAUCUCAUGGGAGAUCACCAGCGGCGAGACGAGGAAGAGGCGAUCGUCGCCCGUCUCGAAGCCCACG